rnacentral:lncRNA from 1 species
AAGCACAGGACUGCGUCUCUCACCACCACAGCCAGGCAGCUGCUCUUCUAGCUUCUGAUUAUCAUCCCCAAGCCAUGCCUUGGUCAUUUCUGAGUUGAACAAAAUCAUGGAAGAUGUGACUGUCAAGUGGAGACAUCGAGCCUUUCUGCUGCCCUCAGCAUCUCCCAGCAGCCUCUCUGGUUCAAGACUUUCUUUGUCUCUAGAAGUUGCUCCAGGAUCCCAGACUGUAUUGCUAAGCCAUUGCCAACGAUUUGCACUUCUGUCGUCCCUUUCAUCUGGGAACCACAAGGCCAUCUGAAACUUCUCUGAUCAGCUUCAGAGGAGUCCCCUCUAUCAGUUAAGAAUUGUACUCUACACUGAGAAGCAGGUAUUGCAUUUGUUGGUCGCAAGGAUAAUCCCCCAAAUUCCCACAGCAUCCAGAUGAAGUUGUCUACUGUCCACAGGAUGUUCAGCAAAGACACCGGGAUGUAUUUGCCUGAAGAAGAACGGAAGAGAACUGAAAAGAGACAUCUAAGGGGAUGACGUUGUCAUCGGGCCAUUAAUACCUGAACUGCAUUUUAUUUCACAGAGGGCCUCAGGUACUCACAUAGCCCUACAGUGUGGAAUCAAUGUCUGAGAAACCAGGAAGAAAAUCUGACCCAAAGCUAGGUAAGUGCCAGUUUCUGAUGCAGGAAGAAUAAAGUUAAAUCCACCCGGGCUCAGUGAAGGAUGACAUGUCACUCUUUAAGGUUUCCUCUGUCCGAUUGCUGUAUGAACCCAUAUCCAGUAGUGUUAUAGUAGAUGUCUUCCCAGGAGGAAGAUUCCUCAUCUUCAACCCAAGUUUGCUUUUGUUCAAUGCAUUCACACUGUAGGAUCCUUCCUGAGAUUUGCUGUAAUAGAUUUGACUUGUGCUUCCAUGAGGUACCAUCACUUGUCUUAAAGGGUGGAAGGAAGCCAAUGGAUGGUAACCUGAAUGUGGGAGGGAAAACUCCAUUUUCCUCUGAAGGCGGAGCCAAGUGCAAAGUGAGAGCAUUGUAUUUUGGGUCUAAUGCACCUCUUGUUCAGCUCGGUGCAGCCUGAAUCUACAUACCAUUUUUCUUAGUGGAAAGGCAGAGAGAGAAGCUGAUACCUUCAGGAACAGCGAAUGCCACACUUGUUUCUGCUCCCCCUGGAUUUAUCAUGGAAGGUGAUCUAAUCCAUCCAUUCCCAGAAGAGAGUGUGUUGUAGCACUGGGUAUUUAUUCUCAGCAUGCCAAAGUUCUGUGCCCACAGAAAAGGUCCACCUCGCCUACUGUCAAGACUUUGGGUAGAUGUGUGGAUGCUCAGAUGCCUUGCUCCUUUCUCCUUUCUCAUGCAUGUUUCUGGCUUUGUGUAUUCCCUGGAUUUUGCCCAUGUCCUUCAUCACUGUGGGCUCCAAGAUACACUUUACUUGGUCUGUGAAAAACAGCUGACUCAACUGAAAACCUCCAUGGACUUCUUCACUAUUGAUUCAGGGUGGACUCUACUUGCAUUGGUGAAAUUCCAGCCUGGGUUACUUCUGUCCAGUCUUAAUACUGAAAUUCUAGAGAGUAGCCACCCAAUCUGGAAGCCACGACAAAACUCUUGAUGGACGUGGGGAACUAGGUCAAUAUGUCACAUCCACAUCAUCCUAGAUCAGAUUGCCUGGGGACACAAUGACCAAGCUUUCCCAUCCAUAGAAGACAUGCUUCAGGCUGUCCCUACAGGCCCCCUCCAGCUCUUUAAGAGAGAUCCUUAGGGAGGCCCUGGUCUUUGUCAGAGACUGGGGUUGGUGGAGGGUGGCUAAUCUGUAAGUCUCCAGAAAACUAUGUGUCUGUCCUAUACAAUCUCAGCAAGCUGUUGGCCCAAAGUCUUGUGUUUUGCACUAACCAUGUAUCUCUCACUUCAUAUUAAACAAUACCCUCAACUUUUCAUCCUGAAA